rnacentral:lncRNA from 1 species
CGAGAACACGGUUUCCUGGAGCAUGAAGCUGUGUCUGAGCAUCUUUUGACACCGUCCCAGGAAGAAGAGGCUCAGUCAGCUCUGAGAAGCCCCUCUGAAAAAGCUGGUGUAGGAGGGAGAGAAGUACUAACGGGUACAGGACUGUCCAGAUAACUGCCUCCUUUCGGCUGACCCAGUAAUUUGCAGCUCUGCUUUCUGGUCCCUGACACUUCAGCUAAGAUGUGCCCAGAGACACAAAUGAACAGCCUUGCUCUGAUACAGGUGGCACAAGGAUGCGUAUAUUUACUUGCCCACUCGGCUGACAGCAGUGAGAAGGGGAAGGUUCUGGGCCAGAAUGUUCCUGCUGAGAAGACAGGUUCAGACCGCAGCCUUCGUUCCACUGCACGUAUGCCAUCUGUUUGAUGUUGCUGUGGUCCCCAUCUUAGGCACGAUUAUCUUUUGAGAAUGGAACUGUUGAACUGUUGAAUGGAACUUGAUCUCCUGAAGCAAUAAACUGACUGUCACAAGGAAGGGGACGGGUCGAUGCCCAUGAGACUAAUUCAGACUGUCUAACCACGGUUCUGCAUGUGCAUAUGAGUUCAUAUUCGUGUCCACGUCAGGGACAAACAAGCCCUAAGUGCCCAUAGUAUAUUCAAAGCCGAGGCAGCAAAGAAACCCCUGUAUAAAUGCCCUUUUGUUAGUCUAUAGGAGGGACCCUUGUUAAUCUCCCUCUCAGAUAGAGUCUUUUUUUUAAAGAUUUUAUUUUUUCCUUUUUCUCCCCAAAGCCCCCCAGUACAUAGCUGUAUAUUCUUCGUUGUGGGUCCUUCGAGUUGUGGCAUGUGGGACGCUGCCUCAGCAUGGUUUGAUGAGCAGAGCCAUGUCCGCGCCCAGGAUUCGAACCAACGAAACACUGGGCCACCUGGAGGGGAGCGCGCAAACUUAACCACUCGGCCACGGGGCCAGCCCCUGAAGUCUUUUUAUUAUAAUUAACAGAAAAGAAGCCCCAUAGAUAUGGCAUUGUUAACCCACUUUUCAGCAGCGUAUCUCAGGACCACUCCAUUGGGUUGGUGGUAGAGGGGCAGAAGGACGUUCAAGGAAGGAAUGAGGCAGAUGUGGUCGUAUUUACGUCGUGAUGAUAACCCUGGAUGAACACGUGCAUCUCUAUUGUCAGUGCUAUAAAACAUACUGUCAAUAAAUCAAUGCAAACGCACCUUCUGGCUCCUGUUUCCACAGGAUGAUCUGAUCACGCCUUAGCAGCCUUACACUUACUGCACCCUG